GACAUCAAAACUACAACAAUCUCACGUCACAAUUAAAUACAAGAUUAAACCAUAAUUAAUCAAGUACAAUUCAUUAAUGUCAAGUAUCAUAUAGCAAUUAUGAAUGAACACCUUCAUCUCCUAAAUGCAAACUAAUGUCUCAAUAAUGAAAUGUUCCCUUAACAUUUACUAAAUGCAUGUGGUACCAUCUAGCUCAACUAUAUUGGACCAACCGAAUCCAAAUCUCAACUAUCUCAACAAUAUCAUCACAAAGGAUGCUCAACUAUAAUGCAUCAAUGGAAUGCAUGAAAUGAUCAUAUGAUACUACUCAACUAUAAUUCAUCAUAAUGAUAUAUGAUAACAUAAUCCAAAAUCCUCAACUAUAUUACUCAUCAUCAUCUCUCAUUCAUCAACUCAUCAACUCAUCAACACAACCAUCAACUAAUACCAAACAAUUAACAAGUAUACACUUAUUAAAUUACUCAUAAACAUCAUUUCAAAACCAAGUAAAUACUCUCAAGUCAUGCUUCAAUAAGUGAGAAAUAAAUUCAAUAAAAUAAGCCUACGAAGUACAUUAAUUAUAUCUAAAUCAUACCAACAUAUAAGCAACUUGUAUAAACCAAGCCUUAUGUCAGCAAACUAACUCCGUAAACGGAAUCUACGCGAAAAACUAUGAAAAAUAGGUUCCGACAAAAAAAGUAACCAAAAAGUCAACCAGAAAAAGGAACAGUCAAACAAAAGUUAGCGUCGGCCAAAGCGUCGGCCAGUGUUCGACGCAAAGCUACAGAAUUUUGACAGAAAACGCAAAAUGCUUCGGAUUCUCCAAAAUAAUCACUUAUUUUCACAUAUAACCACUUAUUUCGACUCAAAAACAUACAUACAUCAUUUACCAUGCUUACAUGUGAUCAAAAGCACUUAAAACAACUUAAAAUCAUCAAACAACUCAUUAACUCAUGGAUUUUUACUCAUUUUUAUAAAACUCAUAAACUUGUUCAAAUACCAUCAUCCAUGAUCAAAACAAACAUUUUUCUCAAAUCAAAACACUCAAUGAUCAUGAAUAAGCAUGUAGAAUCAUGAAUCAACACUUAAAGCUUCAAAAUAAAUCGGAUUCCCAAAAUUCUCAACCAAACCCAAAUGAGAUGAAGAGAGUUUGGGAAUGGAGGAAAAGGUUUCCUCCCCUCUCAUAAAGUUCAUCUCAAUGAAUUUCAAAACCACUCUCUUACCUUAGCUAGGAUGGAUUCUUUAGUCUUCUUCUUCAAUCCCUAAGAUUGUUCUUCCUCUCUUGGUUUUUCUUCAAAACUCACCAAAACCCUUCUUUCUCUUAUUUUCUCGUUCUAACCUCUUUUUCUUUUCUUUCCUUUUAUGACUAAAGACUUAUCCCUCUAUCUUAUCCUCUAAACCUAAUUUUCACUACCAUUUUAUCACUUACACCCCCAAAAAUACUUCUUAACACUCUUAUUUGUAUUCCU
rnacentral:lncRNA from 1 species